rnacentral:rRNA from 1 species
GACAGAGGGUGCAAACGUUGCUCGGAAUUACUGGGCGUAAAGGGCUCGUAGGCGGCCAACUAAGUCGGAUGUGAAAUCCCCAAGCUUAACUUGGGAACUGCAUCCGAUACUGGAUGGCUUGAAUCCGGGAGAGGGAUGCAGAAUUCCAGGUGUAGCGGUGAAAUGCGUAGAUAUCAGGAGGAACACCGGUGGUGUAGACGGCUUUCUGGACCGUAACUGACGCUGAGACACGAAAGCGUGGGUAGCAAACAGG